rnacentral:rRNA from 1 species
ACUCAAAGGAAUUGACGGGGGCCCGCACAAGCGGCGGAGCAUGUGGAUUAAUUCGAUGCAACGCGAAGAACCUUACCUGGGCUUGACAUGGACUAGAAAUCCUCAGAGAUGAGGGCUCCCUUGUGGCUGGUUCACAGGUGGUGCAUGGCUGUCGUCAGCUCGUGUCGUGAGAUGUUGGGUUAAGUCCCGCAACGAGCGCAACCCUCGUUCUAUGUUGCCAGCGCGUGAUGGCGGGGACUCAUAGGAGACUGCCGGGGUCAACUCGGAGGAAGGUGGGGAUGACGUCAAGUCAUCAUGCCCCUUAUGUCCAGGGCUUCACACAUGCUACAAUGGCCGGUACAAAGGGCUGCUAAACCGUGAGGUGGAGCGAAUCCCAUAAAGCCGGUCUCAGUUCGGAUCGGGGUCUGCAACUCGACCCCGUGAAGUCGGAGUCGCUAGUAAUCGCAGAUCAGCAACGCUGCGGUGAAUACGUUCCCGGGCCUUGCACACACCGCCCGU